UCUGGUUGAUCCUGCCAGUAGUCAUAUGCUUGUCUCAAAGAUUAAGCCAUGCAUGUCUAAGUAUAAAUAGUAUACAGUGAAACUGCGAAUGGCUCGUUAAAACAGUUAUAGUUUAUUUGAUAAUUGACAAUUACAUGGAUAACCGUGGUAAUUCUAGAGCUAAUACAUGCUUAAACGCCCGACUUUAUGGAAGGGUGGUAUUUAUUAGACUGAAGCCAAUAUUCCUUGUGUCUAUUGCGGUGAUUCAUAAUAACUGAUCGAAUCUCUUUUUGAGAUAAAUCAUUCAAGUUUCUGCCCUAUCAGCUUUCGAUGGUAGUGUAUUGGACUACCAUGGCAGUAACGGGUAACGAAGAAUUAGGGUUCGAUUUCGGAGAGGGAGCAUGAGAAACGGCUACCACAUCUAAGGAAGGCAGCAGGCGCGUAAAUUACCCAAUCCUGACUCAGGGAGGUAGUGACAAGAAAUAGCAAACCGGGAACCUCAUGGUUUCACGGUAUUGCAAUGAGAACAAUUUAAAACCCUUAGCGAGAAUCAAGUGGAGGACAAGUCUGGUGCCAGCACCCGCGGUAAUUCCAGCUCCACUAGCGUAUAUUAAAGUUGUUGCAGUUAAAAAGCUCGUAGUUGAACCUCUGUCUGGGGCUAGUUUUGGCUUUGGUCAGGCUAGUUCUAGGCAUCCGCCUACAAGACUUAGAGGGCAUUCAGUUGUUCACUAGGAGGAGUAGGCAUUUUACUUUGAAAAAAUUAGAGUGUUUAAGGCAGGCAAUCGCCCGCAUAUAUUAGCAUGGAAUAAUAGAAUAGGACACUUUUCCAUUUCGUUGGUUAUUGGAAUCGUGUAAUGAUUAAUAGGGACAGUUGUGGGCAUUUGUAUUUAAUUGUCAGAGGUGAAAUUCUUGGAUUUAUUAAAGACAAACUAACGCGAAAGCAUUUGCCAAGGAUGUUUUCAUUAAUCAAGAACGAAAGUUAGGGGAUCAAAGACGAUCAGAUACCGUCCUAGUCUUAACUAUAAACUAUUCCGACUCAAUGUUUGACUGGCUUAUAUAACCAGUUGAGCGUUGUAUGAGAAAUCAAAGUCUUUAGGUUCUGGGGGGAGUAUGGUUGCAAAGCUGAAACUUAAAGGAAUUGACGGAAGAGCACAACCAGGAGUGGAUUCUGCGGCUUAAUUUGACUCAACACGGGGAAGCUUACCAGGUUAAAACAAUAGUGGGAUUGACAGUUUGAGAGCGCUUUCUUGAUUGGUUGGGU
rnacentral:rRNA from 1 species